GUCCUAUGAGAGAGCAAAAAGUGCCCUUUUAAUUGGUGUUCUAUUGAUCCAUUGCUAGCCCUGUAUCAUGGUUUCUUACAUUUUCUGGGGAGAGAUUCUUCCAGGGCUGACUCUGCGCAGUGCAUCCAGCCCAAGGCCAUGAGGCAGGAGGAUGCCACUCACAAACCGAGAGGUUUGGAAAUCUCCAGAGGAAGUCCUUUCCAGCCCUGGUUAUGUAACUCCCUUUGAAUCCACACUCAAGCCCCUAAGGGCAUUACUCUCUGCCUUAGUGCCCAAGCCUAGGGCCACCAAGUGAGAACUGGCAAACAAAGUGUUCUGCUGCGGUCAGGUCUGGGAGGGCUGACUCCAGCGUGCCAUGGACAAUAGCCAGAAAGGCCCCGGAGCCUCUGCAACAGCUGCCUGCUGCCUCUGACCCAGAGGCCAGGUCACUCCUGGGCCUCUUCUGCUGCAGUCAGAAAACUCAGGGGCUGUCAUAUGUUAAGGCCUCUGCACAUUAGAUCCAAGGGCGGGGGCUCCCCAAGUACCCGUCCCUUCUGGCUUACAGGCUUGCUGUUGUUGCUGUUGUUGCUGCUGUUUGAGUUUUUGUUUGGUCUGGCUUUUUGAGCACUGCUGUCCCGUAACUUGCUCUGGAGACCAGGCUGGCCUUGACCACAGAGAUCUACUUCCCUCUGCCUCCUGAGAGGUCCCGGCCAGCAGACUCCUGCCCAGGAUGCACUCCAGGUCUCCAUGGCAGACAGAAAACCCGGGAUAGAAUGAGACCAGCCUUUGUGGCAUGUCAGAAGAUGCCAUAUCUGAUUCUACUGGCCAGAAAACCUCAGAAAGGAGGAAGUGUCCGAAGCUGACCAGUCCUCUGGCUUCAGGUAACUUCUCCAGUCGGGGCUGAAGAGACAGCUCUUCAGCUAGGUAGAGCACCACAGGGCAAUGAUGAGGCCCUGUGUGCACACACACAUACACACACUAACACACAUAGAUACACACAUACAUACAUACAUACAU